AUUGAACGCUGGCGGCAUGCUUUACACAUGCAAGUCGAACGGCAGCGCGGGGCAACCUGGCGGCGAGUGGCGAACGGGUGAGUAAUAUAUCGGAACGUACCCAGAAGUGGGGGAUAACGUAGCGAAAGUUACGCUAAUACCGCAUACGAUCUACGGAUGAAAGUGGGGGACCUUCGGGCCUCAUGCUUUUGGAGCGGCCGAUAUCUGAUUAGCUAGUUGGUGAGGUAAAGGCUCACCAAGGCGACGAUCAGUAGCUGGUCUGAGAGGACGACCAGCCACACUGGGACUGAGACACGGCCCAGACUCCUACGGGAGGCAGCAGUGGGGAAUUUUGGACAAUGGGCGCAAGCCUGAUCCAGCAAUGCCGCGUGAGUGAAGAAGGCCUUCGGGUUGUAAAGCUCUUUUGUCAGGGAAGAAACGGCUGAGGUUAAUACCUUUGGCUAAUGACG
rnacentral:rRNA from 1 species